rnacentral:rRNA from 1 species
UUAAAUUGAAGAGUUUGAUCAUGGCUCAGAUUGAACGCUGGCGGCAGGCCUAACACAUGCAAGUCGAACGGUAACAGGAAACAGCUUGCUGUUUCGCUGACGAGUGGCGGACGGGUGAGUAAUGUCUGGGAAACUGCCUGAUGGAGGGGGAUAACUACUGGAAACGGUAGCUAAUACCGCAUAACGUCGCAAGACCAAAGAGGGGGACCUUCGGGCCUCUUGCCAUCGGAUGUGCCCAGAUGGGAUUAGCUAGUAGGUGGGGUAACGGCUCACCUAGGCGACGAUCCCUAGCUGGUCUGAGAGGAUGACCAGCCACACUGGAACUGAGACACGGUCCAGACUCCUAC